AGGAGCCUGGUUGGAGGCGAUUGGAUCAUGGGGGUGGAUUUCUUCCUUGCUGUUCUCAUGAUGUUCAGUGAGUUCUCACGAGAUCUGGUUGUUUUUUUAUUUUAUUUUAUUUUUUAUUUUAUGUUAGAGAUGGAGUUCUGCUCGUCGCCCAGGCUGGAGUGCAGGGGCGCAGUCUUGGCUCACCACAACCUCUGCCUCCUGGUUCAAGCAAUUCUCCCGCCUCAGCCUCCCGAGUAGCUGGGAUUACAGCCACCCAAGACAUGCCUGCUUCCCGUUCACCUUCCACUGUGAUUGUGAGUUUCCUGAGGCCUCCCCAGCCGUACUUCCUGGACAGCCUGCAGAACCGUGAGCCAAUUAAACCUCUUUUCUUUAUAAAUUAUCCAGCCUCAGGUAUUUCUUUAUAGCAGUGAGAGAACAGACUCAUACAACUGGGCAUGUCUUCUAAGCAAGGUACUAUUCUAAUCACCAGACAAUAGUGUGCUAGUAACUAUUUAACAACCGGCUCUACGAGAGUAAUCCUGCCAUGAUUACUCACCAUGAUUACGGUGGCUAAUAUUUUCAUUUAUGUUAACAAGUAAGAUAAAGGUAAAACAACAAAAGUGCACGCUGGAACUUGACUCCUUUGUCGAUGACAUGAGAGACUUCCUUGCUGAAUAUGAUAAUAGACUUCCUUGCUGAAUCUGAUCUGAUAAUCCUUUUUUUUUUUUUUUUUAAUUUUCUGAGACAGAGUCUGGCUCUGUCGCCCAGGCUGGAGAGCAGUGGCGUGAUCUCUGCUCACUGCAACCUCCACCUCCUGGGUUCACACCAUUCUCCUGCCUCAGCCUCUCGAGUAGCUGGGACUACAGGCACCCACCACAACGCCCGGCUAAUUUUUUGUAUUUUUUAGUAGAGACGGGGUUUCACCAUGUUAGCCAGGAUGGUCUAGAUCUUCUGACCUUGUGAUCCACCCGCCUCGGACUUCCAAAGUGCUUGGAUUACAGGUGUGAGCCACCGUGCCAGGCCCUGAUAAUAGUUAUGAAAUACUGGAAAAACAGUUUUAAAAUUCUCUGUGCUGUUUACACUUUAACAAUGACAUGCUUUUAUGUUUAAUCUACAUCAUUAAUACUUUUCUCCAUCCCUUCCUUAAAUCUAGACAACAAACCAAACAAUAGGGCAAGCUCUGGUUUGUAGUGUCUGCUGAUUCCUGUGGUGUGAAUACUCCCACCAUGGCCAAUAUCAAGCUGCCAACAUGGUGUCACUAUAUGCAGACUUGGGAAGAGAUGCCUGCUAGCACAUCAUGGUACAGAAUCUCCACUCUGCGGAUAUAAUAGGUGCAAACCCCAAGAGCAGAGCAGAGCAAACAGCAAAAUAAUUAAGGAGUGAUAUGUUUUGAAUAUUCAUUAUCUUUGUUUUCAAUAAAAUUUAUUUAAUUGUAGGC
rnacentral:lncRNA from 1 species